rnacentral:rRNA from 1 species
AAUCAACGCUGGCGGCGUGCCUCAGACAUGCAAGUCGAACGCGAAAGGCUCCUUCGGGGGCCGAGUAGAGUGGCGCACGGGUGAGUAACACGUAGGUAAUUUGCCUUUGGGUGGGGAAUAACUCAGGGAAACUUGAGCUAAUACCGCAUAAUGCAGCGGCUCGACAUCGAGACAGUUGUUAAAGCGGGGGAUCGCAAGACCUCGCGCCUGAAGAGAAGCCUGCGGCAGAUUAGCUAGUUGGUAGGGUAAUGGCCUACCAAGGCGACGAUCUGUAACCGGCCUGAGAGGGCGGUCGGUCACACUGACACUGACAUAC